rnacentral:rRNA from 1 species
UACGUAGGGUGCGAGCGUUGUCCGGAAUUAUUGGGCGUAAAGAGCUUGUAGGCGGUUUGUCGCGUCUGCUGUGAAAAUCCGGGGCUCAACCCCGGACUUGCAGUGGGUACGGGCAGACUAGAGUGUGGUAGGGGAGAUUGGAAUUCCUGGUGUAGCGGUGGAAUGCGCAGAUAUCAGGAGGAACACCAAUGGCGAAGGCAGAUCUCUGGGCCGUAACUGACGCUGAGGAGCGAAAGCAUGGGGAGCGAACAGG